ensembl:lncRNA
GGGCGCCCGGGGCGGCAGCUGCUCGGCCCCAAGGUGGGCGCACCGAGGGCACUGCGCUCCCGAGAGGAAGAGACGAGACGCCGGAGCGCGGGGAGCUGGCGGAGAAGGAAGGGAAACCAGGAGGUGUGGAGGCUGUGCCUCCACUGGAGGAAGAGGAAGGAGACGGAGGAGGAAGCGGCCCACUCGGUGGCUGCUGGAGAAACGAAGAACUAACUGGCCUCCGCAAGGAAGCCGCCAAAUUAGAAGGCUGAGCUUGAGCGGAAGAGAUCCUGCCUUGGAGCCUCCGCGCCAGCCCCGCCCUGGCUUCCCUGCGAGACUGCAAACUCGCAGGAUGUUAGAGCAGGCAGUCACCAAAUUCCAGCCCAUUCACGUCACACGUGGGGACUGGGUCACAUGCUCCCCAGAUCCGGGAGCCUGGAACCCGGUUAGGAGUCAGCUGACGUGCGGACCACCCACUGAUUCCAUGCUUUGCUAGACCCCAGAGCCGGUUCCUAGAAGGUUCUGGCUGGCAGUGAGUCCUGAGUAGCAGUGACAAUUAAUUGCUUCAGGGGAACUUUUCUCUGUCCCGAGCUCAAAGAAAUGAUGCCCUGGAGUUUAACGUGUAUCUCACAGCCCUUCCCAGGAACCCAGAAAGCUUGCCCUGUCCUUAUAACUUACAAAGAUAAAUAAAAAAGAAGUCUGCGAACUGGGCGAACUGGUUUGAAUAAAGACAAGCCCGUUCUUGGAAAGUUUGAGUAGGCUAUUUUUCUUCUGACAUUUGUGAAUGUGAGCAAGAGGGAGAACCACCUUUUACCUUAUCAGGGGGGUCAUUGCUUACAGGACACAGCUAGACCUAGAACUCCCUCUUCUUGUGUUUCUAUACAAAAGAAAAAUCCCCCACCUCACCGUGUCAUAAAAGCACCUUUGCACCCACGUGUCACAUCUUCCGGUGAGCUGGAUUGGAAUAAUUGUUGUCCUCAGUUAAAAUAACUCCCAGCGCAACAUAAAAUAACUGAGUGACCAUCUGAACUCACUUCCCUCAACCCAGGUCAGCUAACUGAUAAAUCCCAGGCUCCACCCUGACCACCAGCAGGACUCCUCCCAAGCACACCUGUUCAGGGUAGAUUUUGAUGAAAUUCUUUUGAUCGGGAAUUAAGAAAUGAAUGUAAAAACUGCAUGUUAUUGGACGCGUUUAUGUAGCACCUCCUUCACAUAGCCUUUGAACACAGGCAUUUCUGGGUUUGAAUUUCUCUUUACAAGUAGCAUGGUUUAAAAUGGGAAAUAUGCACUCCUAGAGGGAUUUUGCUCUGAGAAUUUGAAAAGAUCAAAUCCUAUUAUGACUCAUUCAGUGUUAAACAUUUCAGCAAACCCACAUCCUGAGUACUAUUAUUCAGUAUGAAAAAAAUCCCAGUAUCACACAGGGUAAGAAUGGAUUCACCAGAUACUUAUCAAAUAUAACGGGAACUUGACCAGCAUUCUAUUCCUUUCUUUUCUUUCUUUUUCAGUAACCCACUUAUAAAGAAUAAUAGGGUUCUAAUGAGGAUUAAUAAAAUUUAAUAAGGUAUAAUUAGAGACCUUCAUUUCUUCCAUCAUACACCUUAUAAGAGCUGUACUGGAUCCAGAAAUGCUGCUAAUUGUGUUGAAACUGUUGUAUGGGUGUACUGGAGAAGAUCACUAUGAUUCUCCUGUGAGAUGUGAUUCUCCUGCGAGAUGCAUGAACUGCUCAGGACAGUACCAGUCUGUGCUGUAAACCAGCCUCUGGAGGGUGUGAACUGGAGCCCAGCAGAUGGCAUCAGCCUUGGAACAGAGGUGAAACUUGAUAUGGUGAACUGUCAGUAGAGGGCUUUUUGUAAAUGGAGCAUUAAAGUUGACUGGCUCCGUAGCAGAAAGAAGUGUCAAGAGAAAACUGCUCAGCUCCUGGCAGCGGGAGGCAGAGAAGGGACGAGCACCAGGGAGGAGGGGUCAUCCACCAGAUAGAGACCCCAGGGUCACACUUCCAUGCCCCACCCAUUCACACCCACAAGUGUCCUUUACUAAUAUGUUAGAUGUCCCUUAAGCCAAUCAAGCUGUCAAUUGGGAUCAUCCAUCACACUAAGGCAGAAAAUUCAUGUCUCCCCUUCUGUUCUAACAAGUACCUACUAUGCACUCACUAAAUUUACUAGGCAAUAAGAGAGUGCAAUAUGGAGAAAAACAGACCACCCUACAUACUAAUGCAAAGGAUAUCCCCUAAUACUUAGGCCAAGGGGAGGAGUCUGUUGAGACACUUGGCUGAGACCUCCCGAGGGACUGCUGAAUGGACCAGACCCUAAAGAAAACACUUGGAAAAAUAUAUACGAUGAUAAUCAGCUUGGGUACAUGGGAAAGGAUAUCAAAGAAGGUUUCAUCAAUAGAGUAGCAUUCGUCAACCUAACGAAAGAAAUCAAAGACCUCUUCUCUGAAAACUAUGGCACUCUGAAAAGAGAGAUUGAAGAUGAUAUCAGAAAAUGGACAGACAUCUCCUGCUCCUGGG